GAAUUUCUCCACAUAUUUAGAACGCCCUAAGAGCUCCACAAAAUCCUCAUCGUGAGUGAUUACCAGAAGCUGGAAGUUACGCUGCUGCGAGCGACUCUUUAUUAUCCUGAAACAAUAUAUUGAGAACCUUUUAUUACUGAAGAGCAUAAAUAAUCCUCUCCUUUAUAUGAAAAAGACACUGAGAACCUUGUCAGACACAGGACAACCCUGGAGGAAACUGGAGAGGGGGAGCUGGACCCAGACCUUCAGCCCAGCCAGGUAGGAGUCCCAUGUCCGAUCCAGACAGUGAGGGUGAUGGAGUGACUCUUCCUCUAGGUCUGACUCAGGGACUGAUGAGAAUACAUGAUCUAGUUUCUUCCAGAACAAAAAGUUGUUCUUAUUAAAACAGGCAGAAAUGUUUUACUAAAUUUUCCUUAAUAUCUGAGUUGCUCAACUUUAGGAGUCUUACUUAUUCCUUUGUCUGGGGUUUUCCUGACCUGUUACUAAUUAUCUCUGGAAGAAAAAAAAAAAAACAAAAAACCAACUGCAGGCAAGGGAAAUUACAUAUGCAAGCCCAGCUGCCUUCUUAGGAGCUGGGUCUACUUAGAAUUCUGCCACCACCAGUCACUAGAUGCAUCAUUAGUAUGACACACAAGAGGCCUGAGUGGGUGUACUGGGAACAUUUUUGCUCAUUAUAUGCUGAGGUAACUAGCUAUGAGACUGAAAUCAGACUUUUUAACUAACCAUUUGUUUAUCGCUUACCCGUGGCUGAAUGCACUGAGCUUUGAAAAGUAUUAGCCCUUAUGUGCUGGUCAUGCAGGACGACUGAGAGGUGGCUGAGAAAGGUGCCCCAUUCCUGCUAGUGUCUCUGCCAGAAAGAAUCUAUCUUGAGCCAGAGUACCCAAAAUAGCUUCUCUAGUUUGGGAAAAGUGGGUUUCCUCUGCCAGCACAGGAGGGGCUGCCCAUUCCUGGGGUCUGCACCCACCACACUUGAAUGUGGCAAAAGCUGUGUGCAAUUUUACUUUCUAGAUUCUACAUAACCACUAUUAUACUUUUUGAAUAGGAGCUGCCAUUCCUCAUAAAACUGGGGAGAUGGGCCAAAAUCCACUAUUAGCACCUAGAAAUGUUUUAAGCAGGGCAUGCUAACUCCUCUACAUGACCUGUGGGCACCUCUGGUGGGUUUACAGAGAAAGCAAACCAAACCAGGAAACCCUUCAGCACACCUGGGGAGAUUGCAGGAUGUGUCUGGGGCUGCUGUUCACCACCUAGUUCUUUUUAAGCAUCUGAAGAAUUACUAUCAAAGGUAAAGCCUAACGUCUGACACCAACUAGCUUUCCCAAGGAAGACACAUGCAGAGAAGGUUUUCACCACAGAACUCUACGUUACUUUGUAAGUGUAAUAUAUAUUACUAUCAUAGCCUGCCCCCAAAUUUGAGAUACUUACUCAACGAGAGCAUGUGCAAGAGAUUCAAUAUUUUCUCUGUCAAGAUUUGUUGUUGGCUCAUCCAGGGCAAGGAUGCCACAGUUCAAGCAGAAUGUUUCAGCCAGGGCCAGACGAAUGAUGAGUGAGGCUAAUACCUGGAAGAAAGCACCAGAGCUGAGCUGUACCACACAGACCUCUUUCUCAUUCACGUUAGGAAAGCAUGCACACCUGGCCUAAUGUCUUUAUAAGGGAAGGGAGCAAUGUCAUCGGGUCAGUGACUUGAGGUGAAUUGUUGCUCUUUUACUUGGGAGAGCCUGGCCCUGUGACCAGACUCUUAAACCCUUCCAGAAAGUGAACCAUCAGGUAUGUUGUAUCUCAGCCUGUCAUCUGCAUUACUGUUUAUCUGUAACUAAUCAUUUUAGUUAACUGUAUAAGAUUAACAACCUCUCACCCACUCUUUUUCCGAGUUACUUUUAAAUCUGUAUGUUCUGGGGUCCCAGAGGGGCAUCAGGUAUUGUGUUCUAACCUACACUUAAAUGUCUGUGUUUUAAUUCUGAGGGAACCAAGACAGAAAGAAUAUUCCCGGGUCAGUGUAUCAGGAGUACAGAAGUACGGCUUUAUUUAAGCUAAACUAUAGGACAUCCAAGGAACUGAAACUCUGAGGCACUUUCCCAGUUAGUAGAAACCUAAUACUAAAACCCUCAGCCCCAGCUGAAGCCAUCUGAGGGCACAAAGGACACAGAAUUAAGAAUAACAGAGUAUCCACUACUUUUGCAUGAGCUGUCCAUAUCCCCUCCCCUUGAAUCUAUGAAUAAAGGAGCAUCAGUGAGUGAGUUGUGAUUUCAGAGCAUUUUACAGCUUCUCUUUGAUGUCCAGGGAAGGCUAGAAGACUGCAGAAGCCAGGAUCAUAGCUUGGCCCUUUGGGGAAGACACUUCUUUCCUGUAUUUGAACGCUAAUACAGCCCCCACCUGCAGCCCUACAUAUUAAGAGAGUCUAAAUGAUGUUCCUGGCCAAUCUUUACCAAAGUUUUUGUCUUCUCCCCCAACCCAACACCAAGGAAGCAAUUACUGCUAAUUUUUAUAAUUUAGAGUAUCUAUAGGAAAUCUACUUUGUUUAGAAAACAAUUUUCAAAGCAUUUUCAAUACAAAGGGACAUGUUACAAACUCUGUAUUUUCUUAUUCAUAAUAACCACUGAAAACCACCAAAGCAAGUGGGAAUACUGGUUAUAGAUCACAAAGUUGUCAUUUUUGCAGACUAUGAUUAAGAUAAUAAUCUGCAUAUGCCUUAAAUUGGUAUCAGCUGGGCUGACAGAAAAUACAUAUACACAGGAUUGUCUUCAAGCAAAAAUAGAAAACUAUUUAUGAAAAUACUUUAUAUAAUGUGAGCACCCUUUUCUAGAAUUUUUUAAGAUUUUUUAAAGAAAAUCAGGGGUCUGGAAUUUUUAUCCCAUAUAAUCUGCUUCUAAUCUAAAAAGAGUAAGCUCAAGCAUCCAUGACAUCUUGGUUAUAAACCUAUGUGCAGUGAAAGGACCCAGCCUUGUUCCCCAAGGAUGAAGGUCCAAUUUUCCUGAUUCCUUAAAGCUUUAUUCCUCUGAUUUGCUCUGUGCUCCCUAUCCAACAACACAGGCUGUCCUCUCAGAGCCUCAUCUAGAGCCAGAUGGCCUGACCCAGCAGCUGAGUCUAAGGCAGUGCGGGGAGAAGGGAUGCAGGGGCAGCUCUGGGUGUCAAGGCCUCUGGUCUAACAGAUGCUUCUCUUAACAUUGUUCUAAAGUAAUCUCUACAUCCAACAUGGGGCUCAAACCCCAAGAUCAAAAGUCAGAUGCUUUUCUGACUGAGCCAGCCAGGUGCUCCUGGCAAGAACCCUUCUUUUAGAGGGUCUGCAGGUCCAAAGGCUAGGUGGGAGCAGGGACGCAGUCCUGUGAUGGGGCUGCUUUUCAAUGAGACUUAGUUAUUUUAAUGCCUCAUGUGGCUCAACCUGGGAUGUGGUUUGGUGAACGCCCCUCCUCCACUUCUGACUGCUCUGAAAUCAGGAUGCAUUCUUGCAGUUAAAACUGCAUUCUUUCUUUCUUGGUGGCACAUAAAACAGAGGUAUGUCUUACAAUUGAUAACACAAGUAACUUUAUUCUCAUAAGGAGAGUUAUGAAGCAAUGAAUGGUUCUCCGUUAGGCUGAUCACGUGAGGACUUCUCAGACCCUUCUCCUGAAAGAUUAUCUAAUGUUGCAGGAAAUGCUGGUUAAAACUGGAAGAGGGUAACGGGUAGCUGAGUCUGGCUAACUUUAUGUGGCAACAAGGAGUGCUGUGAGGGUCUUCUCACCAUAUUCCCCAGCAGCUCUGGGUGCUUUCACUGCACAGACACUAGUUUCUGUCAGUUAUCUGUGGGCUUCCUAGGGGCUUGAGAUACCUGCCUUCUGUCCAGCACUGCAUCGUCCUCGCAUAUCCAAGGCUGUGUCUCCCUUCAGCAUCACCACUCGGUAGUUAUAAUUCCGCCUUUUAUCAGAGGCUGAUACAUUUUCAUCGGCAUCAGACCGAAUUUCUAUGUAUUCAAUAUCUGACACAAAAAGAAGAUUUCAGAGCAACC
rnacentral:lncRNA from 1 species